rnacentral:rRNA from 1 species
AUUGAACGCUGGCGGCAUGCCUUACACAUGCAAGUCGAACGGUAACAGGUUAAGCUGACGGGUGGCGAACGGGUGAGUAAUAUAUCGGAACGUGCCCAGUCGUGGGGGAUAACGUAGCGAAAGCUACGCUAAUACCGCAUACGAUCUACGGAUGAAAACGGGGGAUCGCAAGACCUCGCGCGAUUGGAGCGGCCGAUAUCAGAUUAGGUUGUUGGUGAGGUAAAAGCUCACCAAGCCUGCGAUCUCUAGCUGGUCUGAGAGGACGACCAGCCACACUGGAACUGAGACACGGUCCAGACUCCUACGGGAGGCAGCAGUGGGGAAUUUUGGACAAUGGACGCAAGUCUGAUCCAGCAAUGCCGCGUGCAGGACGAAGGCCUUCGGGUUGUAAACUGCUUUUGUACGGAACGAAACGGUGAGCUCUAAUACAGUUUGCUAAUGACGGUACCGUAAGAAUAAGCACCGGCUAACUACGUGCCAGCAGCCGCAGUAA